rnacentral:rRNA from 1 species
AUAGAUAGUGACGCCUGCUCAAUGAUUGCAUCAUACAACAAAAACCACAAUUCAAUAGCUGCGGUAACACCUAACCGCACAAAGGUAGCACAAUAAAUAGCCUGCUAACUACAGGAUUGCAUGAAGGCAUAACGAAACUUUAACUGUCUCAAGACCAUAAAUCUAAAUUAGAAUGUAUGUGCAAAUCCAUACUAAAUCGGCAAGACGAUAAGACCCUAUGAACUUUACUGAAAACCCCAAAACUUAACUUGUCUUUCACAAUAAAAACAAGAAAUUAUAUACCUUGGAACUUAAGUUUCGUUGGGGCAACGAUCUCAAAAUAAAUAAAUAAGAUUACAUAUAAUCAACUAUUACAAAAUAACACUCUAAGUUAAAUUACACAAAAGAUAAGACCCAUUAAGAAAAAAUAACAUAAUGAACACAAGAUAAAAGCUCCUUAGGGAUAACAGCGUAAUAUUGUAUAUAAAGAUUCUUCUCAAACAAUGUUUGCGACCUCGAUGUUGAAUUA